GCUGAGCCCCCUUUCAUAUUUAUUCAUUUCGUCCUUUCCUCCUUUUCAUUUCUUCAUUUGUUUUUGGUCGUCUCUGUCUCUGUCUCUGUCUGUCAUAUUGCUCAAAGAAGUUGUGUUUUUCGCAGUCUCUUUCUUUCCCCUGAAAUUCUCUUGAACCUUCCAACAUAUACAGAAGAAAUACAGAGAGAAUUAAGGGUGAAAGAAAGAAAUAAACAAACAAACAAAUGUCUCCAAUGGCGGCUUUUUCUUCGGUGGCCAAACAAGCGGAGCAACUGCGACAAGAUGGCAAUAAUUACUUUAAAAAAGAUAGGUUUGGAGCCGCCAUUGAUGCUUAUACUGAGGCAAUUACGUUAUGCCCUAAUAUUCCAGUUUAUUGGACGAAUCGCGCACUUUGUCAUCGGAAGAAGAAUAAUUGGACAAGAGUUGAGGAAGAUUGUCGAAAAGCGAUACAACUUGACAAUAGUUCUGUCAAGGCACAUUACAUGUUGGGUCUUGCUUUGCUACAGAAAAGAGAGUAUAGUGAAGGAGUUAAAGAACUGGAAAAGGCUCUAGAUCUUGGAAGAGGUGCAAAUCCAAAGGGUUAUAUGGUAGAGGAGAUCUGGCAAGAGCUUGCAAAAGCCAAAUAUUUACUGUGGGAACAUGAAUCUAGCAAGCGUUCAUGGGAAUUGCAGACCUUGAAAGAAGCUUGUGAAGAGGCUCUCAAAGAGCAACAUAUAAUGGAUUCUUCCAAGACGGAAGGAUUUAUUGAUGAAACCGCUGUUGGGCAUGUGAACCAGUUAAAAGCUUUGGAGCAUGUCUUUAGGAAAGCCGCAGAAGAUGACAUACCUUCCGAGGUUCCUGACUACCUAUGCUGUAGAAUUACACUUGACAUAUUCCGCGACCCUGUCAUUACACCGAGUGGAGUCACAUAUGAGAGAGCCGUCAUCUUUGACCAUCUUGAGAAGGUGGGCAAGUUUGACCCAAUCACCCGGGAACCACUUACUCAAUCCCAAUUGAUACCAAAUCUGGCCUUAAAAGAAGCAGUUCAGGCGUAUCUGGACGAUCAUGGGUGGGCUUAUAGGUUGGACUAGCAGUGGUACUCCAAGCUUCUGGGUCUCAGAUGUUGCAUGGAUCUGGUCUCAACUCUAAUUGAGCUCAAGGACACUUCCUGUAAAAUGUGUGAUCUUCCCUUGCUGGUCCUAUCACUCAUCACAUAUUGUUCACACCUGUGCAAUUCUUGAAAUGGUGGGAUCUAAAGGAACAUUAGCGCAUCUUGAAAUACGAAGCACAUCUGGAAAAUCUUUCAGUAUCUAUCUGAGUCAAAAAGAUUGUUGAAGAGAUUGAAGGUUGUUAGGCAUGAAGACGUGAACGCUAACAUUCCUUCAUGAGUUCUCCAAAUAUAUUGCACUUCUUUGUUUAGCUGGUGGGACAAUGUUACUUGGUAGUUGGGAUAUAUGAUUGUGUAUAAAGAGAGUUUGUUAUGAGGGUACAACUCAUUGAUGCCAAGUAAAUAAUGGAGCGCCCAUAUAAUUGGCGAUUUGAUGAUCAAUUUUGGUCACGUGAAUAUCUCUGCUGGUUCUGAGACCUGACAUCAUAUGUUACUGGAAGUUCUUAGAUAUAGCUUCUUUGGUAUCUUUUCAUGUUGGAAUUCUGCAGGUUUUAUCUCCAGUUCUCACUCAUGGUACUACAUUGUUGCAAUCUAGAAAAAAGACAGACAUGAGGAAUACUCCCUAGUUAGCGGAUUCGGAGUGAAAUUAGACCGCUCGUUUUUCUUUUUUAGUAUAUGGCAAAUAGCGGUCUAGAAUAGGAGAUUGUUUUUCUGAAAACGUUGCUUCACUGGAAAUAGUGGCUUCAUAUCGAUGGAUCUGAGAUCAGAUCAUGAGUAUCUUUGUAGUUUCUCUUAUUUGUACUUGUUAUCAUCACUUUGCAAUCCUGCAUUGUCGACAAUAUUUCUAUGUUAUUCCGACAUCGUUAACUCA